UACGUAGGGGGGCAAGCGUUGUCCGGAAUUAUUGGGGCGUAAAGAGCGUGUAGGCGGUCCGGUAAGUCAGCUGUGAAAGUCAAGGGCUCAACCCUUGAAAGCCGGUUGAUACUGUCGGGCUAGAGUCCGGAAGAGGCGAGUGGAAUUCCCGGUGUAGCGGUGAAAUGCGCAGAGUAUCAGGAAGAACACCCCGUGGCGAAGGCGGUUCUCUGGGACGGUACUGACGCUGAGACGCGAAAGCGUGGGGAGCAAACAGG
rnacentral:rRNA from 1 species